rnacentral:rRNA from 1 species
UGCCCUAGUAACGGCGAGUGAAGCGGCAACAGCUCAAAUUUGAAAUCUGAUCUCUUCGAGGUCCGAGUUGUAAUUUGUAGAGGGCGCUUUGGUGUUGGCUGCGGUCUAAGUUCCUUGGAACAGGACGUCAUAGAGGGUGAGAAUCCCGUCUGUGGUCGCAUGUCUUCACCGUGUAAAGCCCCUUCGACGAGUCGAGUUGUUUGGGAAUGCAGCUCUAAAUGGGAGGUAAAUUUCUUCUAAAGCUAAAUACUGGCCAGAGACCGAUAGCGCACAAGUAGAGUGAUCGAAAGAUGAAAAGCACUUUGGAAAGAGAGUCAAACAGCACGUGAAAUUGUUGAAAGGGAAGCGCUUGCAGCCAGACUUGCUUGCAGUUGCUCAUCCGGGCGUUCGCCCGGUGCACUCUUCUGUAGGCAGGCCAGCAUCAGUUUGGGCGGUUGGAUAAAGGCCUCUGUCAUGUAUCUUCUCCGGAAGACCUUAUAGGGGAGGCGUAAUGCAACCAGCCUGGACUGAGGUCCGCGCAUCUGCUAGGAUGCUGGCGUAAUGGCUGUAAGCGGCCCGUCUUGAAACACGGACCAAGGAGUCUAACAUCUAUGCGAGUGUUUGGGUGUCAAGCCCGAGCGCGUAAUGAAAGUGAACGGAGGUGGGAACCCUUGGGUGCACCAUCGACCGAUCCUGAUGUCUUCGGAUGGAUUUGAGUAAGAGCAUAGCUGUUGGGACCCGAAAGAUGGUGAACUAUGCUUGAAUAGGGUGAAGCCAGAGGAAACUCUGGUGGAGGCUCGCAGCGGUUCUGACGUGCAAAUCGAUCGUCAAAUUUGGGCAUAGGGGCGAAAGACUAA